GCAGUCUAUGAGCUUACUUUAAUUUAUAGCUUUCUGGAUAACGGGUUUCCAAAUAAUGGAUCCCAUACCUAUAUUAUGUUAUAUUUUAUUUUCAAAAGGUCGACUACUGGAAUUGGCCACUGGGAAGCAGUGUUCUCUGUUUCCUAGAGUCCUAUGCAUCUGGCCACAUGAUGGAGUUGAUGCGCUUGUAAUAAGUUGUUUAGUAAUUCCGCAUGUGCCUGUUGCUUCAUUAGAAAGACCAAUACACCUUCUAUACAAACAUGGCACUAGCUAUUACACUAUACUUUAUAUUGAUGUGGAAAAGGAAACUAUGUGCAUUUACCUUGUACCAAACGGUAACCCACUGGCCCCAUUCCAGACUGAGGUUUGUAAUUAUUUCCCAUUAAUAAGUAACUCAGACUAAUUCUAGGUCAUAAGUAUGAGUUAAUUAAGUCGUUGUACAGUGUACAGACUACCUGUCACUCCUGCUCACUGGAAAGUCUAAUGAGACCAUCUCCUCUCAAUUUGAUUACAGCUCUAAUGGAUUAGUCCUUGAUCUGAUAAAAUGAUCAAAACUGACUACAGAAAAAGUUGAAGUGGCACAGGGUCCAACUCCAUUUUUUAGCCACUUAUGAAUUAGCACACUAAAGUACCCAAAAUGUAUACACUCCCAACACAUAAUGGAAAAACAGUAUAAACCUAUAUGUCUAAAAUAUUGCCCCUUAAACCAACAAGGGUAAACCGCAAAUCACCCACAUAAAGCAAUGUGAUGGAAAGAUAGGGAAUAUUAAUAUAGAAAGUAAAGAAGUGCUGACCCCAGUGGGACCUAGAAGACUGUGCCAUUUCAUCUCCAGUUUCGUCCUAGUAUUAAUAUAUGGGAUGAAAUUGUAAUAUAUUGACCAGUGUUCCAUUCUGAUCUGUACUAUAAUAACUGUUUGAAUUCUGUAUUAUAAAUGAUUGCACUGUACUAGAACAACUGGAUAUAAUCACUGCAAUCUCAAUGGCAAGUAAAGUUUGUUUGUGGUAGAGAUUAAGAUGACUGCAUUUACUGAUCCAGACAUACUUGAAAGUGGGCUUUUUCAGCCUGCUCAUCUGUUACACAAAAUGGCCUUUGCUUUGCUACUGUUUAUAGUAGUGGUACUUGGGGAGCAGUCACUGGGUUUUGGAAUAUUCGAGAGUCUUCUGGUGGUACAGUACAAAUUGGCAUAGAUAUUCAGAAGAGUGUGCUUCAUUAACCUAGAAACCUAGAUGUAUUUAUUUUAUAGAUUGGGUCCUUUUUUGGGGAAAGUCUGGCCAUGGAGGAGCUUCAGCCUUGGAUGGUAACUGGGGGUUCUUCAGCUUGGUUGGGAUAAGAUUGAAUUUGAUGUGUGUGAAUAUAUUGCCUUAACCUAUAUAUAUGUUUCUUUAACAGGUCAUACCCUGGUGUGGGAAAAGUCCAACAACAGAGAUAUUCAGUGUGAUUUUUGGUGUUGGGCCACGGUUUGGAUAAAGUCUAGACAUCAAGGUUCUUCAGCCUUGGCAAGUCAGUAGAGAAGCCGGUGCUAGUGGUGGGGGAAAUCAUUUGGAUGUACAGUAUGUGAGCAUUCCUCUGCCUGAGCGUCUGCUGUUCAGAAUGGGUCAACCGUGGAAUUAGCAUCAGACUUGGAAGGUGAGGGGGUGUCACAUGCUUUUGAGGAAAAAGAAAUGUGUAGGGGUAAUAAUACCAAGAAGCGACACUUGAGCAGCAGUUUUUCUGUGCUUCUUGGUGUUAUUACCCCUACACAUUUCUUUUUCCUGAUUUGCUGGAUGGGAGCAAGGGUGUAAGAUACCUGAAAUUCAUACGACUAAGGGCUGUACUACACCAGUUUCUAUGACAUUAUUCACAUGCUUUUGAUGAAGGGAUGUUUUUAAAUGUGUAUAAGUGGGUGUUACUUCACCCAGAAUGGUACUGCUUGUAUUUGGGGUGUUUGGGGAGCAAUCACUUGGUUUUUGAUUAUGUGACAGUAUGCUACUCCAACCUGAGUGUCCUUUAUUAUACAGGUUUUGCCUAGGCUUUGGACAAUGAUGGCUGCAGGGGUGGUUCAGCUUAUUCAGUUUGAUUAGGAUGCUGGUGUGGAGGUAUCGAUUGUCGUAGAUAUGAGAAUAGUGGACUUCAUUAGUCUGAUAACCUAGGUGUAUUUGUUUUAUAGGUUGGGUCCUUGUUUGGGGAAAGUCUAGCCAUGGAGGAGUUUCAGCCUUAUCUGGUUGGACUCUGGUUUGGGUUAAGUCAAGCCAUGGAGGUUCUUCAGCCUUGGCAAGUCAUACCCCGGGAUGGGAAAAGUGCAACAGCAGAUGUAUUUAGAUUACGUACGUUUUUGGUGUGAGUACGCCUUCAGGGCAUUUUAUAGGCUGUGCCCUGGCUUUGGCAUUUCCAGCAAUCGAGAGUUUUCUUUCAAAACUUUUUUUUAUUAUCAAUCAAUAUUGACAAGACAUUGCAAUUUUUCUUUAUAAAAUGCGUGUGUUCUCCUACACAGAGGAGAAUUAUGACAUUACAUGAAAACAUAUUACAGAAAGCUACAAUGCCACAUUGACAUGUAAAUAAACAUAAUGAAAUAGUCAUAUCAAUAAACAAAUAAACUUGCUUAACAAAAUGCAGUGUCAAUUAUUACUUUGUAUUCGUCUCCGUGUAUAUUACGUCAUGUAAUAAUAAGUGUCUCCUUAUAUACAGCAUUGCUUCCAGGGUUCCGUCCUCGUUAUAAUUAAGGGCUCCCCCGUCUGACACAAGUAACAGCUACAUCAAUCACUGACUGGUAUAUCUAAUCCAAGGGGUCCAUAUUUUCAUAUAAAUAUUGUAUUUGUCUGAAAUAAUACUUAAUAACCGUUCAUUGACCAUAAUCCAGUUCAUUUUAGCACGGAACAAGGAUAUGGGAAGUGAACGUUUUUUCCAUGAAGAAGCUAUAGUUCAGCAAUGGAGAGUUUUCACUCUUGGUGGGUAAGUGGAGGUUCUGUUUCUUGCAGUAGGGGUGCAGGACAAGAGAAGUCUUGUUUCUAAUGAAUGUAAUAAAGUUUUGAUUUAACUAAGCUUUUCUUUGUGUAUUAGUUUAGUUAAAGUCUAGCCAUGAAAGUAAAGAAGCUGGUGCUAGUGGAAUUAAUUUGGAUGUAUGUGAGCAUUCUUAUAGGAUAGGCUUUGCUUUACAAAAUAUUUAGCCCCUGAGUAUGUACAGGCUUUAUAGGUAAGUAGGUAUAGAGGUGCUUGAUUUAGUGUGUGAGCAAAUGGAAAUAUUGAUUUUAGUAUUGGGUCUCUUUCUUUUUAUGCAAAACGGUUUCAUUUGCAGUAGAAGAGUGGGAAUGUUACUGCUUGUAGUAGGGGUGUUUGGGAGCAAUCACUUGGUUUUUGAAAAUGUGAUAGUAUGCUACUCCAACCUGAGUUUCCUUUAUUCUACAGGUUGCACCUUGGAUUUAGACAAUGAUGGCUGCAUGCGUGGUUCAGCUUAUUCCAUUGAAUAAAGAUGCUGAUGCUCAUAUUCUGUGAGAUGGUGGAGUUAUUGAUUGUCUUAGAUAUGCAGAAGAGUGGGCUUCAUUAGCCUGAUAACUUAGGUGUAUUUGUUUUACAGGUUGUGUCCUUGUUUGGGGAAAGUCCAGAGGAGUUUCAGUCUUGGCUGGUGACCGGGGUUCUUCAGCUUGGUUGGGGUAAGAGUGAAGCAAGAGUGAAUGGCCUUAACCUAUAUGUUUUUAACAGGUCAUACCCUGGUGUAGGAAAAGUCCAACAGUAGUGGUACUUCAGUCUUUGUAUGGAAGUUUGCUGUAAAGGAUUUGGGUGGAGUUGUUUUUUUUUGUUGUGUGCAGUUCAGGGUAUUUUAUAGUUUGGACUCUGGCUUUGAAGUUUCCAGCAAAGGAGGAGUAGUUUGGUGGGAGAGUGGGGGUUCAGGUUCUUGAGGUAAGGGUGCAAUGUGUUGCUUUAACUAAGGUAUUUCUUUGUUUAAUAGGUUGGACAUCACAUGGAAAUCUCACGUUUGUACACAAAUAUUCCUCAUGAAACAGGGAAAGAGAAAAUUUUUAAUCAACCUACCUGGUACCUGGG